AUCUAGCUGACGAGUCCCAAAUAGGACGAAACGCGCGUCCUGGAU
rfam:Schistosoma mansoni strain Puerto Rico chromosome 4, complete genome